GCCUCAAAUACAGUUCUAUAAUAUUGUAUAUUACUCAAAAAUUAAAAAUUUCAAACAAAACAUUUAAAUAGGUUAGUAGAAGCGAUCAAAAUCCUAAUAGAAACUUCACAUAAAGUACCGCAAGGGAAUUAUGAAAUAGAAAUGAAAUAAACUAAAAGCAUAAAAAAGCAGAGAUUUCCUCGUACCUUUUGCAUCAUGGUCUGACAAGUCAAAACAAGCAAAAUGUAUUUAAAGUUUGUAAUCCCGAAACUAAGUGAGCUACUUUAAAACAACUAUAUAAUUUACACUAUUAUAUAAUCAACCCGUCUCUGUCGCAAAAGAGUGGGAAGAUUUUUAAGUAGAGGUGACAAGCCUAACGAACUUAGAGAUAGCUGGUUAUUUGAGAAAAGAAUAUAAGUUCUGCCUUAAACUAAAUAAUGCAUAGAACAUAAUAAAAUGUUUAAGAGUUAUUCAAAUAGGGAACAGCCUAUUUGAGAUAGGAAACAGCCUAAAAAACCGGGUAACUAAUUUUAUAGUAUACAAGUUGACCUAAAAGCAGCCAUCUUUCAGAAAGCGUCAAAGCUUUAAUACUUAAUAAAAAAAUUUCUAAAUUAACUACUAACCCUUAAUUUAUAUCAAAUAACUUUAUACUAAUAUAAAAACUAUUAUGUUAGAAUAAGUAAUAAGAAAUAGACUUUCUCCAAAAUAUAAGUGUAAUGCAAAACAAACUAAAACUGCUAAUUAUUGUAUAUAAACCUAAAGUAGCAACUUCUCCAGAAAAUUCUACUCUUCCCGAACAUUAACCUAACACAAGAAUAUUACUGGAAAGAUAAAAAAAAUAGGAAGGAACUCGGCAAAUACUAACCUCGCCUGUUUACCAAAAACAUCGCCUCUUGCUAAAAUAUAAGAGGUCCCGCCUGCCCCGUGAUUUAUUUAACGGCCGCGGUAUCUUGACCGUGCAAAGGUAGCACAAUCAAUUGUUCUUUAAAUAGGGACUAGUAUGAACGGCAUCACGAAGGUUUAACUGUCUCCCCCCUUCAAUCAAUGAAAUUGAUCUUUCCGUGAAGAAGCGGAAAUAUAUAUAUAAGACGAAAAGACCCCAUGGAGCUUUAAACUUAUUAUUACUUACCUUAACCUAAAACAUCAUAUUAGGUAAACCUAUAAUGUAGUUUUCGGUUGGGGCGACCCUGGAGAAAAACUAAUCCUCCAAGCUGAAUAGAUUUAACUCUAAUGCUAGAAUGACAAUUCAAACAAUCAAAAUAUUGACAAAAUGAUCCAGAAUAUAUCUGAUCAACGAACCAAGUUACCCUGGGGAUAACAGCGCAAUCCAUUUCAAGAGCCCAUAUCGACAAAUGGGUUUACGACCUCGAUGUUGGAUCGGGAUAUCCUAGCAGCGCAGCCGUUGCUUAAGGUUCGUUUGUUCAACGAUUAAUAACCCC
rnacentral:rRNA from 1 species